AUGGACAAAAAGACAACAGCUCGGCCAAGAAAUGUGACUUGAUCAACGGCAUGGGUGCCUCCGCCUGGGGGAUAUGUGAAGAUAAACACGGACGCGGCUGUUGCGACAGAACGCUCUUGUGGUGUGGUUGCUGCUGUGUGUCGCGACGAGGAGGGAAAUUUCCUGGGAGCAUCUGCUUGCAAGGUAAAAUUCAUAACAGAAGCGGCCACUUUGGAAGCUAUGGCAUUUCGGAAGGGUCAAGCACUGGCACAAGACUUAUACAUCAACCGGAUUCAUAUUGCAUCGGAUUGCAAGACGGUGGUCACAGAUAUCCUUGAGAAGAACUCCAGUUCGGAGUAUGGGGCUAUUAUCCAAGAGAUUUUUUAUCGUUCUAGUCUGUUUAAUUCUUGUAAUAUAGCUCAUGAGUUUAGGAGCUCGAAUUUCGAGGCUCACAAUCUCACUAGGCAUGCUUUACAACUCGGCUUUGGACGCCAUGUUUGGUUGGGCCAACCCGGGGAUCUGGUUUUUUUACCUGUAAACAUUUUGGUUUCUGAAUAA
rnacentral:rRNA from 1 species